rnacentral:lncRNA from 1 species
UUCCAUGUAGGUGCAGGUAUCAUGGUAACCAGAAAUGGCAGUGCUCUGGAUUAAAAGGCAGUGUGACCUUCGGGCCAGAAGAGGCAGGAAUAAUUGUGUGGAGUCUCCAUCUGUGUUUGAGUGCCCUGAAACAGCUGUGGGAAGAAGAGAGAACAGUGAAUUGAAAACCACCAAGGCCAUGCGCUUUUCCUGUUGUUGGUGAAAGAGGUGAAGAAGGUGCUGGAGGAGGCCUUGAUGUUCCUCUACACACUGCUGUGGGCUAAGAUCUACCUGGAUUCCAAGGUAUGUCGUUUUACC